GCGGAAGUGGUGGAAUAGGCAGACACGCUAGGUUGAGGGCCUAGUCCUCGUUGAGAGGGUGGGGGUUCGACUCCCCCCUUCCGCA
rnacentral:tRNA from 1 species